rnacentral:rRNA from 1 species
GUUAGGAAUAUUGGACAAUGGGCGAAAGCCUGAUCCAGCCAUGCCGCGUGAACGAUGAAGGCCUUCGGGUUGUAAAGUUCUUUAGCCGAUGAUUAUAAUGACUGUAGUCGGAAAAUAAGCCCCGGCUAACUUCGUGCCAGCAGCCGCGGUAAUACGAAGGGGGCGAGCGUUAUUCGGAAUCACUGGGCGUAAAGCGUGCGUAGGCGGUUGUGUAAGUUAGGAGUGAAAGCCCAGGGCUCAACCUUGGAAUUGCUCUUAAAACUGCAAGGCUCGAAUCUCGGAGAGGAUAGCGGAAUUUCCAGUGUAGCAGUGAAAUGCGUAGAUAUUGGAAGGAACACCAGUGGCGUAAGCGGCUAUCUGGACGAGCAUUGACGCUGAGGCACGAAAGCGUGGGGAUCAAACAGGAUUAGAAACCCCUGUAGUCC